ACCAUAGAGUGGUCACGGUUGCCAGUGUUCAUCUUGUCCCAAUGUAAAGGUUUUAGCCUUGCCGGUGGUGGGAGCUGUCCUUUUUUUGGCGGAGCCCCAGGAACUCCCAUUUGUGGUCUCGGAGGUGGCGGUCUUGCUCCUAGUGGAGGUGGAGGAGGUGCCUUUCCCCCCGGCGGCGGAGGUGGAGGAGGCGCCUUUCCCCCCGAAGGUGGCGGAGGAGGUGGGCGCUUUCCUCCAGGCGGAGGUGGAGGUGGCGGUGCUGUUGACCCUGAUUUUGCCGGAAUUGGUGGUGGAGGAGCAGCUGGUCUUGUAGGCGGCUGCGGUGCCGAUGAAGGAUGAGGAGGUUUUCCAGCCACGGCAGCUGAUGUCUGCACGACCGUAGUAGAAACUGGGCUAAAAGUAGCAGCAGCAGCAGAAGAAGAAGAAGAAGAUGGAGGUUUCACAUCCACCAUAUUGGUAGCAAAAGGUGUCGAUGUUGGCCGUGGCGGUAAUGGAGCUAACGUCGCAGGAACCGGAAUAGAAACCGUCGUUUGAUGGCCAUAACUACCUUGGAAUUCAUCCGAUCUAAUCGAACCUACAGGCAAAAGCGGCGUUUUCGAGUUCCGUCGAGCCCUUCGUCGCAUCUCUUUCUCAUCAGGAUCAUAAUUGGGGGCGCCGUACUCGCCUUCGGGAUAAGUGACGGGAUUAAUCUUUCCUUUGCAAUUCGUGCAUAAACUAACAUCUCCGUCCACCAGAUUCUUCUUCCAGUAGUACACAUCGAGACCAUUCUCAUCCACGAUUCCAUUUCCAGCACUGCUCACUCCGUCAAUAUCACCAGCGUACGGAUUGGUAGUGUUAUACUUUGUUUUCGAAAUCGCAGAUAGCAAUUUUUUACGGCGCUUUUUGACGUCGUACUGGUAGAACAAGAAGAACAAAAGAGAAGAAGCCGUCAAAGUGACGAAGAAGGUAACAAGCGCGGAGUUUCUAACGGAAACACCGUUCCCACCGGAGCUGAUCGGAGAAGAAGGCGCGGGCGGUGAAUUGGGAGAUGGAGAAGCAGGAGGGGUAUUGUUUGUGGCUGGGAUGGUGUUAGAUGGCAAUAAAGGGGUCUGUACGUUGCUUGCCGGAGGAUUUGUGUUGGUCUGUAACAGAUUCCUACCGGCAGAAUAAGAUACCGCCGCCGCCGAAUUCGAUGACGUUAGAAGAAAAACCAGUAUCGUUAACAGAAUUCGAUAACGAUCCAUUUUGGGGAUUUUGAAAUUGCAGAGAUGAAUGGAAUCGCUUUUUCUUCUUCUUCUUCUUCUUUCCAAUGGAAUAGUAAGACUUUUGGGGGUUGAUGAAGAGUUUCCCAGUGGUUAAUGGCGGCGCAACCGUCAUCUUAAUGAAAUGACGAAAUUAGAGUUGUCUUAGACGAGAACUAGCUGUCUACCUGUCAGUGGCGGUGCAGCUGGAAAAGGGUAUAAUCGGUAUCGUGGGUUGGGAUUUUUCCUACUUC
rnacentral:lncRNA from 1 species